CAGUAGCCGCGGUAAUACGAAGGGGGCUAGCGUUGCUCGGAAUUACUGGGCGUAAAGCGUGCGUAGGCGGUUUGUUAAGUCUGCAGUGAAAUCCCCGGGCUCAACCUGGGAAUGGCAGUGGAUACUGGCAAGCUAGAGUGUGUCAGAGGAUGGCGGAAUUCCCGGUGUAGCGGUGAAAUGCGUAGAGAUCGGGAGGAACAUCAGUGGCGAAGGCGGCCAUCUGGGACAACACUGACGCUGAGGCACGAAAGCGUGGGGAGCAAACAGGAUUAGAGACCCCAGUAGUCCCUGUCUCUUAUAC
rnacentral:rRNA from 1 species